rnacentral:lncRNA from 1 species
GAACACAUAGUAAAUGCUGAAUUACUAUUUCCUAAAUUAUCAUAAAGCUGAGAAGAAUCAUGAUUCUCAAACUUCACCUUGGAAUUAAAAUGGAUUUCCUUGAGAAGCACAUAUGAGGUAAGCAGACCUCUCCUGUGAUGUUCUGGAUAUGCCUGUCUCAACAGAUUUCAGGGUGGCCGUCUUCUCUGCAAAUUCAGUUCUCUGAUGUGUCCAAGCUGAAGAAGCAAUUCAUCACUCCAUCAACUGGUUUUACUGAAUCGAAGCACAGAGAAUGUCCACAGUCACAGUGACUGUAGUGAUUUUCUAAAGCUGCAAUCUCAGUACAGUUUUACUUUGUUGUGUACAACCUUCAUUAUACUCAUUACUCCAUUCUGGAGAAUAUUUUAUAAUCACCACUUAAAGUUUUCAUUGGCAGGAUGUGUCUCUGUUCCUACUGCUCUUUUUUUUUUUAUCCAGUAAGAGGGAAAUGAUUAUCUCAUUUCUUGGGGGACAUAAUUGGUCUAUACCAAUAAUUUCACUUAAUGGUUUCACUACCUGGUAGAUUGUUGU